AACAAGUUUAUCCUCAUUACCAGCUAUAUAUAUAUGCCAGAAGCCUUCGUAAUCAUGGCAAUUCUACAUUUGGAUUUACAACCUGCUACCCCGCGCAAAGACUUUUGCGAGGGAAACCAUAGCUCCCGUAUAAUCGCCAGGCCUGCCAUUCAGGGACUGCUGCGUGGGACCUCCCAGAAGUCACCCAAUUUGGCUAAUCAAUAUAUAGAAUUGUACUAAUAACAUAAUUGGCACCUAACCAAACAGAAUCCACAACCCAAAAAACAUGUAAGUGGGCUGACCAAGUCUAAGACAACUUCAAAUUACACAGAGAUAAAAUAAACAACUUAUGUACCUUAAAUCUUAACAUGAAAUUUCCAAUAAAGUGCGACUGUCAAUGUGACUCAUAAA